rnacentral:rRNA from 1 species
UACGUAGGGGGCUAGCGUUGUCCGGAAUCAUUGGGCGUAAAGCGCGUGUAGGCGGUCCGGUAAGUCCGCUGUGAAAGUCGAGGGCUCAACCCUCGAAUGCCGGUGGAUACUGUCGGGCUUGAGUACGGGAGAGGCGAGUGGAAUUCCUGGUGUAGCGGUGAAAUGCGCAGAUAUCAGGAGGAACACCGAUUGCGAAGGCAGCUCGCUGGAACGUUACUGACGCUGAGACGCGAAAGCGUGGGGAGCAAACGGG